GACGAACGCUGGCGGCGUGCUUAACACAUGCAAGUCGAACGGAAAGGCCCUGCUUUUGUGGGGUGCUCGAGUGGCGAACGGGUGAGUAACACGUGAGUAACCUGCCCUUGACUUUGGGAUAACUUCAGGAAACUGGGGCUAAUACCGGAUAGGAGCUCCUGCUGCAUGGUGGGGGUUGGAAAGUUUCGGCGGUUGGGGAUGGACUCGCGGCUUAUCAGCUUGUUGGUGGGGUAGUGGCUUACCAAGGCUUUGACGGGUAGCCGGCCUGAGAGGGUGACCGGCAACAUUGGGACUGAGAUACGGCCCAGACUCCUACGGGAGGCAGCAGUGGGGAAUAUUGCACAAUGGGCGGAAGCCUGAUGCAGCAACGCCGCGUGCGGGAUGACGGCCUUCGGGUUGUAAACCGCUUUCGCCUGUGACGAAGCGUGAAUGACGGUAAUGGGUAAAGAAGCACCGGCUAACUACGUG
rnacentral:rRNA from 1 species